AUGCUUCGCUUCAUUUCAAAGUUAUUAUUAUUUAUCAUCAGAACACAUUCAAGUUUUAAAGUUCAAGUUAAACACAUUCAGGACCAAGUGUUGGGAGCAUGGACGGGUCGCACGCUUCAAUUUCAACGAACGAAAUGUCUUUUUUUUUUCUCCAUAAAAAAUGUCUCUCAAUUUAAAGUGAGUAAACAAAGUUCCAUACUCGAUAUAGAUCCCUAUAGAAUUCCGUGGAAAGUUGUAUUUGAUGAGAGUCGUAUGUACAACUUGGAGGAAGAUCUUCCGUAUCUUUCGAGAUCCACCCUACAAUAUGGGGUCAAAAACCAAAAAAAGUGA
rnacentral:rRNA from 1 species